UUUUCUGUUUAAUUCUAACUCAUGUUUAAGUUAAUUUGAGAUUUAUUGAAAUUAAACAGAAUUAUGACGUUGACCUUUAUUGCAGAUUUCUGACUUGAAUUAUUAGUUUAAGAAGCUUAAUUAUCUUUCCCUGCAGAGAGUUUUGAGAACUUUUAAUUUAACUUUUUUAAUAACUGAUUUAACCCGCGCAGGCUCAUCAUUAAUGAGCAAUAAUCCACCUUUAGACCUGUAGCUGUAGUCCAGUCCAGAUCAGUCCAGAUCAGUCCAGAUCAGUUCAGCCAAUCACCUGCUGACCUGCGCUAACACGUCACUUCGCGUCCUCUGUUGUAGUUUUCCGGCGGCAGAUUAAAAACGAGGCUCCCCGGUGAACCGUUCAGCUCCAAGAGGGACCGGACAGCAGGCGGACCGGGACCAGACCGGGACCAGACCGGGACCAGACCGGGGUCUCAUGCCGCUGCAGGCCAGAGGACAGGUAACCCCGGUGGGAUCCAGAAGGAGCGGAAAGUCCGCAGUGACCUGAAGCCACAGACCUCCAUGGGACCCAACCACCACAGAACCUGGACCUCCCAGUUGUCUCUGCUUCAGUCUGGGUGAAUUAAAAACAUGAGACAUUAUGAGUUCUGAGAGAAAACAGCUGUAAAUUAGAAAUACAGUGCGCACAAAGGAGAGGAAUCUUUGUCUCUUUUUCAUCUUCGCAGGGAAACGUCGUCUUUCUUCCCUUUCAAAGGCUCCGUCUCCUGUUUUACAUCAGAGUGUGAAGAUGAAUGUCAUCAGCCUCUGGAGUGAGGAAGCAGCAGCAGGAUCUUUGACCUCGGACAGUUUCCUGAAUACGACACUUUGAAGAGAGAGAGACUUUAUCAGACCUGUCGAUGUGUUGAAGUGAGUUAAUUUGCAGCAAAAUCAGGAGGAAAAAAAACCGUCAGGAUUUUUCCAGUUUUACUACAAUAUUACAGCAUCAGAGCAUCACAGAAGGAAACUUCCUGAAUUUAACUUUAUUUAAAACACAAAUCACAAACCUGGAAACUGGAUUUCAAAGGUCUGAGCGACUGUUCCUGAGAUAAUAUUGUAAAUUACACGUUUUUAUUUCAGAUUAAAACUUAAAUCUUUGGCUAAGACAUUUUAUUUUGUGUUACAUAAAAUCAAAAACAUGUUUUCUUCUUCUUCUUGCGUUAAGCUCAUCUCCUGCAGAGACAGGAGUCGGGUUUUUCCCCUAAUUCUACAUUUGCAGAAAAGAAAGAUUCCCAGCUGUGGUUCUGGUGUGUGAAGGGGCCCUCAGGGGUCGGGGCCCCGUCUGGCCUGUACUCUUUAUUUCCCCCAAAACGGUUCCAGUUGAAAAUUCAUCACAAAUAAAAAACAGAUAAAAUCAACACAAUUGCAACAAUAUAUCAUGUGUGAUAAUGUAUAAUAAUAAGAAAAUAAGAUCAAUUAAUAAAUAAAUAAUAAAAAUAUAAAUGUAAACACAUCAUGACUGAGACGUGAAGUGACUUCACAACCAACCAGGAAAUAAAGAAAGUGAAACACGAGAAAAAACAGACGCAAGAGCCUCAAACAUCUUCAGCAAAGCGUCCGUUAGCAUUAGCAUUAGCUUGGUAAGGUGCUAGAGUGCUAAGCUGUUGGUUUUUUUUGUCACCAACAAAGUCCUGAAUCAAAUCACUAAAGUUUUUAUGAAUCUGCCAAAAAAUAAAUAAAUAAAUAAAUAACCAAAGGAUUCACAGACUGUUCACCCAGAUCUUCAGCUCCAGGUACUUGUUCCGGUGACAUCAUCUCACCUCAGGUCUCAGGUGUGUUCACCACAUGUUCAACCAGCAGCUCAACACACACACACGUCAGACUCACUCUUCUGUUUCCUCCAACUAAACCAAAUAAGCCGAAAACAAUCCUGUGUCUGGAAAUACCUGUUAGCAUGUUAGCAUGUUAGCACUUCCUGUUCCCAUGUCCAGAAGUCUCUGGGGUUUUUGAAUGUUUUUUGUUUAAUGACUGAAAUAAAAAAUCUGUGGUGAAACACAAGCUCCAGACAUUUUGACAUUUUACUUUACGACAUAAAACACGUCAGUGACUCCUCCCACCUGAACAACCCUCUGACUCCUCCCACAGGAGAGGGUCCAGAAGUGGGCGUACCUUCCUUAAGUGUCUUGGUCUUAACAGUUGAACCGUUAGCUGUUGAACUGAGCGCAAUGAAUCUUGGGAUAGAUCGGAGCCUUCAUGACGCAGGGAAAGAAGGACGCACUUGAAGGAGCCUUCGACGGUCUUCAAACGUGGCUCCUGAACUGACGCCAUGAGAGCUGAUAUUUUUCUCUCCCUGUUUUUCACGGAUGGAUGUAGCUAGGCAGCUAGCUACAUGGGAAGACUGUACCUGCUCUUAAUCACACCUGCAAAACUCUGAUUGGUCGGCUGAGCACAACAUCACACCUGUAACAAGGAUCGAACUUCUCAGGGUUUAAUUUUAUCCAUGUUUUUUACAUGAAGUCUUCCACUUCCUGCUUCUUCACAUGGAGCUUCGUCGUUUGUUUUUCUGUUUCUAACAUCAGGAAACUUUAUCCUUCAUUUCUCUGCAGCGUUUUAUUUUUCUGUUUCCAACCUGAAAAGGUCUUUAGGUUCAGUUUCCUUCUUUUCCUGGUUCCACAUGAUGACGGAGCCGCUCUGAGACAAACCACCUGUGGGUCUGAGGGGGGGGGGGGGGCGCUCACUACAACCUCUAUUUGUAUUCAUCUUUUUCUCUCCCUCCCCCUUUUUACAUUUCCUGCCUCAUGGUUUCCUUUCAUUUGCCCU